GCUCUGUUGGCGGGAGCGGCGCCUGGCGGGGAGGGGUCUGCACUUGCUGUAGGUUCACGAAGGAUCUCCCUUCCCAGGGCGUGGGGCUGUCACCUGGCCACGGGGCUUUGUCUCCUCCAGGUGCAGGGAAGGACCUCAGGCGGCAGGAGAAGGUUCUGGGCCCGGGAGCCUCCUGCUCCUCCCACGGUGAGACAGAAUCCCCGGCCUGCCGUUUGCCGCAGAUGGUGACAAACUGGAAACUCCUGAGCUGAUGCUAUCGGACCCAAAGGGCCAGGGACGCUGGGCCAGGAUUGGGGGCUGGGGGCUCCGAAGGCCGUUCUGGGCAUGAUCCUGGGCCUUCACAGCCUUCCUAGGUGUCUGUGAGCCCCUGGAGGGGAGGUGGGGGCCAGAAG
rnacentral:lncRNA from 1 species